rnacentral:tRNA from 2 species
GCCUGGCUAGCUCAGUCAGUAGAGUGUGAGACUCUUAAUCUCAUGUUUGUAGGUUCAGGCCCCAUGUUGGGUG